rnacentral:rRNA from 1 species
GACGAACGCUGGCGGCGUGCUUAACACAUGCAAGUCGAACGGUGAAGCGCCUCUCUUUUUGGUGGGUGUGGAUGAGUGGCGAACGGGUGAGCAACACGUGAGUAACCUGCCCCCUUCUUUUGGAUAACCGCAUGAAAGCGUGGCUAAUAUGGGAUAUCCUGGGUCUGUCGCAUGAUGGGUCUGGGACAGAUAUUGUUUCGGUGGGGGCUGGGCUGGCGGCCUAUCAGCAUGUUGGGGGGGUGCUGGCCUAUGACGGCGGUGACGGGUAGCCGGCUUGAGAGGGUAGACGGUCACAGUGGGAGUGAGACACGGCCGGGACUGCGACGGGAGGCAGCAGUGGAGAGUAUGGAACAGUGGGCAAAAGUCUGAUACAGCGGCGCCGCGGAAGGAAUGGAGGCGUUCGGGUGAUGAACGUCUUUCGCUAGUGAAGCAGGCCUGCCUCGUUUGUGGGUGGGUUGACGGUAGCUGGAAAAGAAGCGCCGGCUAACUACGUG